rnacentral:miRNA from 1 species
CUGGUUUGUUUCUCUAUUCCG